rnacentral:lncRNA from 1 species
GCGAAUCUGGUACCGGGACUUGGGGAGCGAGGGAUGCAACAUGGUGCAUCUGGGAGGCCUGCUAACUGGCUAACUUCUCCGGCGUUCCUCCCGGCCGAGGCGUGGGCACAGAAUAGCGCAGUUUGAAGACAUCAUUUUCCAGUUUUGGAGCCGACUAAUGAACUAGUUCUUAAGUGAAAGGCAUUUAACACGACUGUGCAUCUACAGGUACUAGGUUUCCAAGAUGCCUUUCCAGACUAAAACCCACACAUGUGAGCCGCUGGCCGGACAAACAUCUGGCACCUAACGUGGGGCUGAAAAACAGCAGAGGACAUUUGGAAGAAACACUGCUGGUUUGGAGCUCCAUAGAAGAAGAAAAUAAUUAAAGGAAAUUCAUACCAGAGAAGGUUUCCAAGAUGCCUUUCCAGACUAAAACCCAGACAUGUGAGCCGCUGGCCGGACACAACAGGAUCUUUUCUAAAAUGAAUCCCUACAGCCUUGAUUAAUAAGGACGCACCUGCCACAGAUUAUAUAAUAAUCUGAAGCAGGCCGUUUCAGAAUGAUCACCUGCUAGUUAUUAGCUUGUCCCAUUAUGGCUCCUGACAAUUGGGCAAAUCUAAUACACUACUAACUUAUUUCCCAACACUAUGACUCCUUAUUACUUAUGGUUUCUCCUGGACACGAGGUUCUGGUCCAUAUGGCUUCCUCCUCCCCUCUUCUUUCUUUCUGUUUUUUCCUCUACCAGCCACCCCCUUUUGAGCCUCUGGUCCAACCUUUCCCCUCCAGUACCCAAUCCUAGGCUCUAACUUUUUAUUGACCAAUUAAAAUAGAAAGAAGGUUCACAUGGCAUCACCUAAGUACAUGAUGGCCUGCGUGUGGGGUCUGACUUUUAAUACAAAUCUAAAUAAUGUUAGUUAUUUAAAUGUGUGUCUUACUAUAUUUCUUUUGUUUUUGUUUUUUGAGACAGGGUUUCUCUGUGUAGCCCUGGCUUUCCUGGAACUCACUCUGUAGACCAGGCUGGCCUCCAACUCAGAAAACCGCCUGUCUCUGCCUCCCAAGUGCUGGGAUUAAAGGCAUGCGCCACCUCUCCCCGGCUUCUUACUAUAUUUCUUACACAGCUGUUUUCCAAAUGUGCAUUUAUCUAGUCUGCUGUAGAAGCAUAGAAUAUGUAUUGUUAAUGGUGUAUUUCUUGCCAGUCAUCCUUUUUUUUUUUUUUUUUUUUGUAGACCAGGCUACCCUCGAAAUCACAGAUCUCCCUGCCCUUAAAUAUAUUUAAGUGGAUCUUCGCUUCCUCCUCUAUCCUUUAUCCUAACAGGCAGGCUUCCUCUGAUUUGGGACUAAAUAGGCUUUCUUUUUAUUGUUUCCAGUUUGUGUUCUUUCACGUGAGUUGGGUGUGCUCAGAAUUGGCUGUCAUACUGCAUGAAAGAUUCAGCCAGAGUCUGAGAAAUGGGUGGGGAUUUUGUUCAAUUGUUUUUGCAUAUAUCUUGUAUGAUUUUUCUAUGUAGUCAAACCAUCAUUACCAAGAAGUCAAGUUUGCACUAGGAUGAGGACCUUAAGACAAUAUCUGGUAGGGCCGUAGUCUGACCCUCAGUCUGGAGUUGGAAGUGUAGUUAGACUAACGCUGUAGACAGACAUUUGAAAGAGUGAAUUACUAAUGUAAUCCAGUUUUGGAUAUUGUUACUCAUAUAUCUCUAUGAAGAUAAAUGAAUUGUUUUACUAAUGUCACUUAAACAAAUUUUGUACUUGUUAAUAUUACUUAAAAAAACAUGUAGAGUAGACAGGAUGUGAAUCUAGUAUACCAUUUGCCAUAGAAACUGCAUUUGUAUGCCUGUGUCCAUAUAUUUGACUUUGGAUAUUUAUAGCAUCUAAAUACAUAUUUUUUGCAUUAAUUGUUCAAGUACUGUCAUUUUUCUUGUAAAAAAUUUUACUGAGCUAAUACUGCAUACUUGAUUCUUACAUCAUACCAUCCGGAAUAGUAGUAGGCUAGCUGGUUUGUGGCUGAAUACAGGACUUCAAUUCUAUAUGUUCGGGUAUUGGGUUUAAUGUCUUAGAAAAUGGCUUAUAUAAAAAGCAAAUUUAGAACCAGAAGCAGAGACUCGAGGAAAAUGUAUUGUUCAUUUUAUGAAUAUAUAUAUAUUCAUAUAUAUAUUCGUAUAUGAAUAUAUAUUAUUCACAUAUUAUCUAAAUGACCACUCCUAUGUUAGAGAUGAUAGGUUCUAAUUAAUCUUGUAGAGAAAGUUAAAGAGCACCAGUGGAUAUGCCUGUGUAUGCUUGUAAUUUCAGUAAUUGAUAAAUGUCAGUAGAAGGGCAUUUAAGAAGUAGGCAAUUUAGACCCUAUUUUUAAAAAAGAUGAAAAACAAGAAAAGAAAAAAAAAUGUUCAUGUCUUUAGUUUGGGCAAGAAUUAUCCUUUGUUCAAACAAAUAUGCUUAUGGUUUAACUUUCUAAUACUUAGUGGGGAAAUAGUAAGUAACAAGGAGAAUUUGUAUUUUAAGAUUUUAAGUUAGAUAUAUGAGCUUCAAUUCUUUUUUCUUUAUUGGAUAUUUGCUUUAUUUACAUUUCAAAUAAUUAUCCCCUUUCCCGGUUCGCCCGCACCUCCACCCCUGGCAACCCCCUAUCCCAUCCUCCAGUUCCCCACUUGUAUGAGGGUGUUUCUCCACCCACCCACUCACUCCCACCUCGCUGCCCUCAGUUCCCCUUCACUGGGGCUUUUAUCAAGCCUUCACAGGACCAAGGACCUCUUGGACGGAUGGCCCUAAAUAAAACAGGAGCCUAGUGUGAGGCUGAGUGCCACGGAAACUCAGGCCAGACAGAGGAAAGCAGAGAGCUGGCCAGAGCUGCAUGGGCAUUUCUUGAAAAGCAGUGUUUGCUGUUCCAGUCUCCCAUUUGAUGCUGUGUGCCCCAACAUUUCAAAGAGGCUAGAUUUCAUUGGUCUACAACUUCAUAAAGUCUCAACAAUGAUCUGUUUAUCCAAGGACAUGAAUAGUAAAACUUACGUAAACACAACUUGACUAUAACAAAUACUCAAAGCAUUAAAGUGGCUCUGUAAUUUUGUAUAAAAUACAACUGUGUUUAAAAAUAU